AACAUUCUUUAAGGCUUUUUUAAGUAGUGCAAUAAACUAUCUCCACCAGUGAGAGGCAGCAGUGCACGAACAGGAGUGCAGUGUGUUGGUGAAGAAGAAAUCUUCCAUCUUGUGGGGCCAACCUAACACAAGUUAUAACAUUAUAACAGCCAGACCUCCUGUUUACAAAGAAGCUGAAGUUUGUCACCUAAUAUACAGUAUAUGAGGGGGCCGGACCAAAUGUAGAGGCGGGCCGCAUCUGGCCUGCGGGCCGUAGUUUGGGGACCACUGGUGUGGAGGAUGAUAAUGAGGACCAGGCACCAGAGAAAGGAGUCAUUGUUUGACCAAAGAGAAAGAAGCAGAUGAAAUAUUCCCCAAGAAAAUUAGGUGACCACAAUGAAUUGAAUCAUCACCCACUAUGAGAUUGUCCAGAAGAGAUUCACCAAGUUAGAAUUCAUGAAAAGGCUUUCACCAUGAUUAACAUUGACCACAAUUACUGCAAGAACAGCUAUAAUUUCUGAGCAUUCUGGACACCUUCAAAGAACUGCUUCCAGGAAAUGAAGACAACAAGAAGAUCUCCCUGUUUUCAGAGCAUUACAGGAAGGCUAUAACGAAGUAGAUGGCUGACUGUUGAAAGAACCUAUUUUCUUAAGUUAAAGAAUAAGUAAUUCUGUUUUAGUUUUUCAAUCAGUGUUUCAGAGUUACAAUAUACUGACCAGAAGUUAAACCUUCUGUUUGAAGAACAAGUUUUAUUCCAUUUUUAUAAAAUACUUCACCUGAGGUAAGACUUA